rnacentral:rRNA from 1 species
ACUACGGGGGGCUGCAGUGGGGAAUAUUGGGCAAUGGGCGCAAGCCUGACCCAGCAACGCCGCGUGAAGGAAGAAGGCUUUCGGGUUGUAAACUUCUUUUCUCAGGGACGAAGCAAGUGACGGUACCUGAGGAAUAAGCCACGGCUAACUACGUGCCAGCAGCCGCGGUAAUACGUAGGUGGCAAGCGUUAUCCGGAUUUACUGGGUGUAAAGGGCGUGUAGGCGGGAAAGCAAGUCAGAUGUGAAAACCAUGGGCUCAACCUGUGGCCUGCAUUUGAAACUGUUUUUCUUGAGUACUGGAGAGGCAGACGGAAUUCCUAGUGUAGCGGUGAAAUGCGUAGAUAUGAGGAGGAACACCAGUGGCGAAGGCGGUCUGCUGGACAGCAACUGACGCUGAGGCGCGAAAGCGUGGGGAGCAAACAGGAUUAGAUACCCGGGUAGUC